rnacentral:rRNA from 1 species
GAUGAAACGCUAGCUAUAGGCUUAAACACAUGCAAAGUCGAGGGGAAAACGGCAGAGAGUGCUUGCACACUUUGGGACGUCGACCGGCGCACGGGUGAGUAAACGCGUAUCCAACCUGCCCUUUACUGGGGAUAACCCGUGAAAGACGGACUAAUACCCAAUGAUAUUCAUUGAUGACAUCUGAUUUGAAUUAAAGAUUUAUCGGUAUAGGAUGGGGGAUGCGUCUGAUUAGCUUGUUGGUGAGGUAACGGCUCACCCAAGGCCCACGAUCAGUAGGGGUUCUGAGAGGAAGGUCCCCCACAUUGGAACUGAGACACGGUCCAAACUCCUACGGGAGGCAGCAGUGAGGAAUAUUGGUCAAUGGACGAGAGUCUGAACCAGCCAAGUAGCGUGCAGGAUGACGGCCCUAUGGGUUGUAAACUGCUUUUGUUUGGGAAUAAUCGACAUUACGUGUAAUGUUUUGCAUGUACCAUUCGAAUAAGGACCGGCUAAUUCCGUGCCAGCAGCCGCGGUAAU